GAUGAACGCUGACAGAAUGCUUAACACAUGCAAGUCGAUGGGGAAGUGGUGCUUGCACCAUGGCAACCAUGGCGGACGGGUGAGUAACGCGUAAGGGACUUACCUGCAGGACUGGGAUAACAGGGGGAAACUCCUGACAAGACCGGAUAAUGUCAUGGAGCUGCAUGGCUUUAUGAGGAAAGGAGACGCCUGCGGAGAGGCUUGCGUCCUAUUAGCUAGUUUGUGAGGUAAUGGCUCACCAAGGCGAAGAUAGGUAGCCGGCCUGAGAGGGUGGACGGCCACAAGGGGACUGAGAUACGGCCCUUACUCCUAAGGGAGGCAGCAGUGGGGAAUAUUGGACCAUGGGCGCAACGCUGAUCCAGCAAUUCUGUGUGCACGAAGAAGGUUUUCGGAUUGUAAAGUGCUUUCAGCAGGGAAGAAGUAAGUGACGGUACCUGCAGAAGAAGCGACGGCUAAAUACGUG
rnacentral:rRNA from 1 species